rnacentral:lncRNA from 1 species
UUAUAGCAGACUUGUGGUGGUGAGCCAAUAAUAACUUAUUUUUAACCAUUUAUUGAGAGCCUAUAAGUGUUAGUGUCUGGGUUUGUUCUUUACAAAUAUUACCUCCUGUGUCCUUCAUGACAGCCGUAUGAAUUAAAUGUUCUAUGCCGAUUUUCCAGAUAAGGAAACUGAGCCUAAUGGAAGUUAGAUGAUUUGCUUAAGGUCAUUCACAUAAGUGGAAAACCACAGAUUUAAAUCCACGUUGGUUUUAUUCCAAAGCUCUCUCUGUGGUGAGCUUUCUGCUCUGCCAUCUGCCUAUAUUUUCUGUCUCAGCUGCUACUGGUUAAAAUUUUAACAGCUACUUCUCAAGAUUGUUCCUAUCUUCUGCAAGGGAUUGGGCUGCCUGUGACACUUAAUAAGAAAAUCAUAAACAUGUCUGCAGAUUGAGGCUCUUCUUAUUUUCGGGGGUGAAUGCUGAGCUGACAGGGCUGCCAGUCCCUCACUUAACUUCUUCCAGUUUCUACGAUGUUCUCCUCCUCUCUGACAGGUGUAUCAGCAUUUCCGCUGCUGCUUGUGCUGAUAAAGCUUCCUGAACACACACACCAAGUAGAAAUCACUUGGUGACACGUUCACUGGGGCACUCCGCCAAGGAAGUCUAGAUGGGCAGGACGGUGUGCUGCAGAUGGCCCCACUACCCAGCGGGUCCAAUGGACAAUUCGAACGUGGUUUGAGAGAGACGUGGGGAGAAUUCUCUCCCCUGAAAUGUAUGGAGCAAGCUAGUACUUCUAAGAAUUUGCUACUGAAAGACUGAGCUGUCCUGGCAUGUUUAAAAAGAAAAUCGGCCAAUUGAAACUCAAGCUUCUCAUUUCUGGCAU